rnacentral:rRNA from 1 species
GACGAACGCUGGCGGCGUGCCUAAUACAUGCAAGUUGAGCGCUGAAGGUUGGUACUUGUACCAACUGGAUGAGCAGCGAACGGGUGAGUAACGCGUGGGGAAUCUGCCUUUGAGCGGGGGACAACAUUUGGAAACGAAUGCUAAUACCGCAUAAAAACUUUAAACACAAGUUUUAAGUUUGAAAGAUGCAAUUGCAUCACUCAAAGAUGAUCCCGCGUUGUAUUAGCUAGUUGGUGAGGUAAAGGCUCACCAAGGCGAUGAUACAUAGCCGACCUGAGAGGGGGAGCGGCCACAUUGGGACUGAGACACGGCCCAAACUCCUACGGGAGGCAGCAGUAGGGAAUCUUCGGCAAUGGACGAAAGUCUGACCGAGCAACGCCGCGUGAGUGAAGAAGGUUUUCGGAUCGUAAAACUCUGUUGGUAGAGAAGAACGUUGGUGAGAGUGGAAAGCGCAUAAAGUGACGGUAACUACCCAGAAAGGGACGGCUAACUACGUG